rnacentral:rRNA from 1 species
UACAUGGGGUGCAACCGUUGCUCGGAAUCAUUGGGCGUAAAGCGCACGUAGGCGGUUCGUUAUGUCGGAUGUGAAAGCCCUCGGCUUAACCGGGGAAGUGCAUCCGAAACUGGCGAGCUUGAGUACUAAAGAGGGUCGCGGAAUUCCCGGUGUAGAGGUGAAAUUCGUAGAUAUCGGGAGGAACACCAGCGGCGAAGGCGGCGACCUGGGUAGAUACUGACGCUGAGGUGCGAAAGCGUGGGGAGCAAACAGG